CGUGGAGUGGUGAUUGGAUCCUAGAUGAGGAGGGCGGGAUCAAAUCUUGCCCUGAGCUUUGAUUGGCCGCCGCUAGGUUGCCUACAGAAGCUCUUCCAGGGUACUGAGGUUUUCUGGAAUCACUUAAAGGCUACGAGCGCGGGGUCCACCGGCUCCGGGAUGCCAUUGGCUGCUGGAUUGGCGCAGGCGCUAUGGCUCCCGGGUCGGCGUUCGGAGUUGCUGAGGCAGGGCUUUGGCUACUGGACACUGUAGGUUCGAAUCCCAUCUAGGAACUUCAGUUUGCGCACCUGUAAAAGAAGCUGGUAUUAUUGGCUGGCACAGAAUGUGUUGGGGAAGUUUAAAAGGCAUUUUGGCUUCUGCCUUGCUUUCUGGGAUCUCUUGCUUUAGUGGAAGCCAUCCACCAUAUUGUGAGGAUACUCAAGCAGCCCCUUGGGGAGACACCUGUACCACAUAACUGAAGUAUCUCAGCCAAAAGCCAGCACUAAUUCAUUAGCCGGGACUUGAAGACUCUGAUCUGCUUGGUGGUGAAUAUCCCAGAGUGAGGUGUCUGAGCUCUUUGUAUGUAUAUGUCCCAGGGAGGGAGGGUCAUGACGGGUUUGUGGGUGUAUAUUGUGAGGUUUCAGAUCUGUUUAGAAGUGAAUUCCAGCAGGUGAUGUAUCUGAACUCAUUUUGAGUGUAUGUGCCAGGCUUUGAGAGCUCUCACAUGUUUUUCAGUAUAUGUGCUAGUGUGAGAAUGCUAAUCUGUUUCUGGGUGUACUACCCUACAUGUGAGGUCUCUGAACUCUUUGUAGGCUUAUGUUGCAGGAUUUUAGGUCUAUGAUUUCUUUAUGGCUAUAUUUUCCAGGUUUUUAGGUCCCUGAUCCGUUUGUGGGUAUAUGAAUCACAUAUGAGUUCCCUGAUUAGUUUGUGGGUAUGUGUCUCCCAGGACAUCAUGUCUCGACUGAUCUAUGCAUGUACAUCUCUGUUCAGCUGAAUACUGGCCUUCAAUAAUAUCCCCGUCUCAGUCCCUAGUGAAAGUGUUAGUCAUUGAGUCAUGUCUGACUCUGCAACCCCAGGCUCCUCUGUCCAUGGGAUUCUUUAGGCAAGAAUACUGGAGUGGGUUGCCAUUUCCUUCUCCAGGGGAUCUUCCUGACCCAGGGAUCGAACCUGGGUCUCCUGCACUGCAGGCAGAUUCUUUACCAUCUGAGCCACCUGGGAAGCCUGUGACUAUGUUAACUUUCUGGCAGAAGGGACUUUGCAGAUUUGAUUAAGUUAAUCACCAGGAGGCUGGGAGUUUAUCCUGGAUUAUCCAUGUGGGCCCAGUGUAGUCACUAAGGUCCUUACGUGUGGGAGGCACGAUGGUGAGAGUCAGAAAUGACACUGUGACAAUGCAGGCUGUCUAAGAAGGUGAUGUAAUGAUGGAAGCAGAGUUGGAGAAGGAGAUUUGACAGCUGAAACAGAGAGAAGAGAGAUCAGAGAGACAUUUGAAGAUGAAACGCUGCUGGCUUUGAAGAUGGAGGAAGGGACCAUGAACCAAGGACUGCAGACAGCCUCUAAAACUGGAAAAUGAAAGGAAGUGCAUUUUCCUGGAGCUUCCUGGAGGGAAGUAGCUCUGCUGACAACUUGACUUUAUCUCUGUAAGACUCAAUUUUAGGUCUCUGACCUAUAGAAGUGUAAGAUAAUAAAUUAGUGUUGUUUUACAAUACCAAGAUUUUAGUGAUUUGUUAUAGGAAAUGAAGAGUGUCCUGGGUUGUGAUGUCUGUAUCUGAUUGUCAGUGCCCAUCCCAGGAUGAGAACUCCAUUAUCUGUUGGUGAAUGUGUGUCAGACGGUGUGAGGGUGUGCCCCCCGAUUUUUGGUCUCUGAGCUGCUUGUUCCUGUAUGUCUCAGAAUGUG
ensembl:lncRNA